rnacentral:misc_RNA from 1 species
CUUGAUUGAAAAUACCAUUUCACGUCAUCCAACACCUCAUGAUUAGAAAAAAAUUCAAUUCUACACCAAGACGUGCACUUGAAUGAAUGGAGGUGACAAUCUGAGUUGAUAAAUUUUAACUGAAAAAGACAAACCAAAUGAAGGAUGCAACAUGUUCUGCAAACUCCACAAAUUGACUAAGAAUGAUCAAGCCAAAUAGAAGAUACCUAGUUCAAGGUUUUUCAUCAAGACACUUUUAGGUAAUAAUCCCAUGCAAUAUCAGGUCAAACUUCCUCUUUAAUUACAUAUAAACAAACCAUGAAGAAUUUUCACUGGAAUUGUAAAUUAUUCAGCCCCUUCAGGCCAUACCUGCAAAGAGAUAAGCUAAAUUGAAUUAAUGCUAAUGUUUGAUUAGAAUAUAUCUUACUGAAUGCACAUUUCCUGAAUUUCUAAAUGCAAAUUCGUCAACACCCUGCCGUACUUUCUCCAGCCUCAAAUUUAAAAAACACUACAAUUCUCCUCCCUUUUCUUCUGUUAACUCACCAAGAGUCAUUUACCAUUG